CAUAUCUCACGUGACCGGAAACGUAAAUCAUUUAAAUUAUUCCACAGAAUCGACUAGAACGCCGCACCUGAGAUAUCAUGUAGUUGGUUGUGUCUUGUAAUCUUUCUGAAUUUGUGAAGAUGCAGUCAAGGGAAGAAAUUAAUAACUCCUCUCUGCAGAAAGUACUUACAGAUGUUGAAAAGAAACUUGUUGAUCUUUUUAUCCAAGAAUGGAACACUCAUUACAAAAAAUUCCACGGAGAAUGGGAAAAUACAAACGUUAGUGGUCAGAAGUUGUUCAACAUUGAAAGAUCAA